AACCUCAGAAAGCCAAUCUCAGUUCGGAUUGUAGGCUGCAACUCGCCUACAUGAAGUUGGAAUCGCUAGUAAUCGCGAAUCAGAAUGUCGCGGUGAAUACGUUCCCGGGUCUUGUACACACCGCCCGUCACACCAUGGGAGUCGGAUAUGCCCGAAGCCGGUGACCUAACCGCAAGGAAGGAGCCGUCGAAGGUGGAGCCGAUGACUGGGGUGAAGUCGUAACAAGGUAUC
rnacentral:rRNA from 1 species